CAGUCGAGCGGGCGUAGCAUACGUCAGCCGCACACGGGUGAGUAACGCGUGGGAACGUACCUUUUGGUUCGGAACAACACAGGGAAACUUGUGCUAAUACCGGAUAAGCCCUUACGGGGAAAGAUUUAUCGCCGAAAGAUCGGCCCGCGUCUGAUUAGCUAGUUGGUGAGGUAACGGCUCACCAAGGCGACGAUCAGUAGCUGGUCUGAGAGGAUGAUCAGCCACAUUGGGACUGAGACACGGCCCAAACUCCUACGGGAGGCAGCAGUGGGGAAUAUUGGACAAUGGGCGCAAGCCUGAUCCAGCCAUGCCGCGUGAGUGAUGAAGGCCCUAGGGUUGUAAAGCUCUUUUGUGCGGGAAGAUAAUGACGGUACCGCAAGAAUAAGCCCCGGCUAACUUCGUGCCACACC
rnacentral:rRNA from 1 species